rnacentral:lncRNA from 1 species
AUAUAUAUAUAUAUAUGUUCGGGUAUUAUCCAUAUCCGUAGGUUCAGAUUGGGUUCAGAUUCGAAUUUGGAUAGAAAAUAGCACUACGUGUACCCUACCCAUAUCUGUGCUACAGUUUUUGAGUUUUCCCCAAACCCAAAUCCGAUCAAAUCUUAUUUUUCAGGUUUGACCGGGUUUGAAGAGGGUACAUAUCCAUCUGGU